GAUGAACGCUAGCGGCAGGCCUAACACAUGCAAGUCGAACGGUAGAAAUUAGCAAUAAUUUCGAGAGUGGCGCACGGGUGCGUAACACGUAUGCAACCUACCUCUAACUGGGAAAUAGCCCGGAGAAAUUCGGAUUAAUAUCCCAUAGCAACUAGAUACUGCAUAGUAUUUAGUUUAAAACUACGGUGGUUAGAGAUGGGCAUGCGUUCUAUUAGCUAGUUGGUAAGGUAAAGGCUACCAAGGCUACGAUAGAUAGGGGGCCUGAGAGGGUUAU
rnacentral:rRNA from 1 species